CAGCCGCCGCGGGAAUACGAAGGGUGCAAGCGUUAAUCGGAAUUACUGGGCGUAAAGCGCGCGUAGGUGGUUUGGUAAGAUGGAUGUGAAAUCCCCGGGCUCAACCUGGGAACUGCAUCCAUAACUGCCUGACUAGAGUACGGUAGAGGGUGGUGGAAUUUCCUGUGUAGCGGUGAAAUGCGUAGAUAUAGGAAGGAACACCAGUGGCGAAGGCGACCACCUGGACUGAUACUGACACUGAGGUGCGAAAGCGUGGGGAGCAAACAGGAUUAGAUACCCGGGUAGUCCCUGUCUCUUAUAA
rnacentral:rRNA from 1 species